GCACGAGUUCAGACUCGUAGCAGAUAGCUCAGUAACCCGUGGCCAACCUACCCUAUGGAUCCGAAUAACCUCGGGAAACUGAGGCUAAUUCGGAAUACGAUUCACCACCUGGAGUGGUGUGAAUCCGAAACGCUCUGGCGCCAUAGGAUGUGGCUGCGGCCCGAUUAGGUAGACGGUGGGGUAACGGCCCACCGUGCCCAUAAUCGGUACGGGUUGUGAGAGCAAGAGCCCGGAGACGGUAUCUGAGACAAGAUACCGGGCCCUACGGGGCGCAGCAGGCGCGAAACCUUUACACUGCACGAAAGUGCGAUAAGGGGACUCCAAGUGCGAGGGCAUAUAGUCCUCGCUUUUUGCGACCGUAAGGAGGUCGCGGAAUAAGUGCUGGGCAAGACCGGUGCCAGCCGCCGCGGUAAUACCGGCAGCACGAGUGAUGACCGCUAUUAUUGGGCCUAAAGCGUCCGUAGCUGGCCGUGCAAGUCCAUCGGGAAAUCCGCGCGCUUAACGCGCGGGCGUCCGGUGGAAACUGCAUGGCUUGGGACCGGAAGACCAGAGGGGUACGUCCGGGGUAGGAGUGAAAUCCCGUAAUCCUGGACGGACCACCGGUGGCGAAAGCGCCUCUGGAAGACGGAUCCGACGGUGAGGGACGAAAGCUCGGGUCACGAACCGGAUUAGAUACCCGGGUAGUCCGAGCUGUAAACGAUGUCUGCUAGGUGUGGCACAGGCUACGAGCCUGUGCUGUGCCGCAGGGAAGCCGUGAAGCAGACCGCCUGGGAAGUACGUCCGCAAGGAUGAAACUAAAGGGAA
rnacentral:rRNA from 1 species